rnacentral:rRNA from 1 species
GAUGAACGCUAGCGGCAGGCCUAAUACAUGCAAGUCGAACGGGAUCCAGAUCAAAGCUUGCUUUGGUUUGGUGAGAGUGGCGUACGGGUGCGUAACGCGUGAGCAACCUACCCUUGUCAGGGGGAUAGCCCGGCGAAAGUCGGAUUAAUACCGCAUGACAUCAUUGAGAGGCAUCUUUCGAUGAUCAAAGAUUUAUCGGACAAGGAUGGGCUCGCGUGACAUUAGCUAGUUGGUAAGGUAACGGCUUACCAAGGCUACGAUGUCUAGGGGCUCUGAGAGGGGAAUCCCCCACACUGGUACUGAGACACGGACCAGACUCCUACGGGAGGCAGCAGUAAGGAAUAUUGGUCAAUGGACGGAAGUCUGAACCAGCCAUGCCGCGUGCAGGAAGACGGCCCUAUGGGUUGUAAACUGCUUUUAUACGGGAACAAACGUCGGUACGUGUACCGGUCUGAGUGUACCGUAAGAAUAAGAAUCGGCUAACUCCGUG